rnacentral:lncRNA from 1 species
GGCCUGGAGCAGCUCGAGGACACUCUAGCAGAGUCUCUCUCCCCAGGCCUGGAGCAGCUCGAGGACACCUCUAGUGGAGUCAUCUCUCCCCAGGCCUAGAGCAGCUCGAGGACACCUCUAGUAGAGUCAUCUCUCCAGGCCUGGAGCAGCUCGAGGACACCUCUAGUGGAGUCAUCUCCUCCAGGCCUGGAGCAGCUCGAGGACACCUCUAGUAGAGUCAUCUUCUCCAGGCCUGGAGCAGCUCGAGGACACCUCUAGUAGAGUCAUCUCUCCCCAGGCCUGGAGCAGCUCGAGGACACCUCUAGUGGAGUCAUCUCUCCCUAGGCCUAGAGCAGCUCGAGGACACCUCUAGUAGAGUCAUCUCUCCCCAGGCCUAGAGCAGCUCGAGGACACCUCUAGUAGAGUCAUCUCUCCAGGCCUGGAGCAGCUCGAGGACACCUCUAGUGGAGUCAUCUCUCCAGGCCUGGAGCAGCUCGAGGACACCUCUAGUAGAGUCAUCUCUCCAGGCCUGGAGCAGCUCGAGGACACCUCUAGUAGAGUCAUCUCUCCCAGGCCUAGAGCAGCUCGAGACACUCUAGUGGAGUCAUCUCUCCAGGCCUGGAGCAGCUCGAGGACACCUCUAAUAGAGUCAUCUCUCCCAGGCCUGGAGCAGCUCGAGGACACCUCUAGUAGAGUCAUCUCUCCCCAGGCCUGGAGCAGCUCGAGGACACCUCUAGUAAGUCAUCUCUCCAGGCCUGGCAGCUCGAGGACACCUCUAGUGGAGUCAUCUCUCCCAGGCCUAGAGCAGCUCGAGGACACCUCUAGUGGAGUCAUCUCUCCCCAGGCCUAGAGCAGCUCGAGGACACCUCUAGUAGAGUCAUCUCUCCCCCAGGC